rnacentral:rRNA from 1 species
AUUGGUUUCUCCCUUCUGACGAACCAAGAUGUCAUUAAUAUGGUGUCCUGGGGAAUCAGGACCGUUACUUUGAAAAAAUUAGAGUGUUUAAAGCAGGCUCGCGCUUGAAUACAUUAGCAUGGAAUAAUGAAAUAGGACGUUUGAUUCUAUUUUGUUGGUUUCUAGGAUCGACGUAAUGAUUAAUAGGGAUAGUUGGGGGCAUUAGUAUUCAAUUGUCAGAGGUGAAAUUCUUGGAUUUAUUGAAGACUAACUACUGCGAAAGCAUUUGCCAAGGAUGUUUUCAUUAAUCAAGAACGAAAGUUAGGGGAUCGAAGACGAUCAGAUACCGUCGUAGUCUUAACCAUAAACUAUGCCGACUAGGGAUCGGAUGAUGUUAAUUUUUUAAUGACUCAUUCGGUGCCUUACG